rnacentral:rRNA from 1 species
CCUUCGGGGUACUCGAGUGGCGAACGGGUGAGUAACACGUGGGUGAUCUGCCCUGCACUUUGGGAUAAGCCUGGGAAACUGGGUCUAAUACCGAAUACACCCUUCUGGCUGCAUGGUCUGGUUGGGGAAAGCUUUUGCGGUGUGGGAUGGGCCCGCGGCCUAUCAGCUUGUUGGUGAGGUUACGGCUCACCAAGGCGACGACGGGUAGCCGGCCUGAGAGGGUGACCGGCCACACUGGGACUGAGAUACGGCCCAGACUCCUACGGGAGGCAGCAGUGGGGAAUAUUGCACAAUGGGCGCAAGCCUGAUGCAGCGACGCCGCGUGAGGGAUGACGGCCUUCGGGUUGUAAACCUCUUUCGCCAGGGACGAAGCGCAAGUGACGGUACCUGGAGAAGAAGGACCGGCCAACUACGUGCCAGCAGCCGCGGUAAUACGUAGGGUCCGAGCGUUGUCCGGAAUUACUGGGCGUAAAGAGCUCGUAGGUGGUUUGUCGCGUUGUUCGUGAAAACUCACAGCUCAACUGUGGGCGUGCGGGCGAUACGGGCAGACUGGAGUACUGCAGGGGAGACUGGAAUUCCUGGUGUAGCGGUGGAAUGCGCAGAUAUCAGGAGGAACACCGGUGGCGAAGGCGGGUCUCUGGGCAGUAACUG